UGGAUCCAAGAAUUAGUUAUAAGUGUUGAAAAAAUACAAAAUCAAAUAGGAGCAAAACAAAAUGCCAUACGCCGAGUACCGGUCCAGCAGUGGAAACAUGGUUCGAUGCCAGGCAUGGCACCGAUCUUGUCAUUGUAAAUACUAGCAAUCACAUUUAUCAUCCGAUUUCGGUGGGUGGAUUAGAAGGCGGACGGAAAAUGUCAUGAACCCGGCGGGCUAUGCCGGAAAAUGGAGGGCAAGUAACCGGUCAGCGAUCGUGGAAGCAAUCCUCCUUGCAGAAGAGAAUGAAACGUCAAGUAAUAAAAAGGUGGAGGAGAACGAAAAAAAACUCCCGGCAGCGAUCCUGAUCCGCCAAAAAUUGUUAUCAAUGAAACUGAGUGCUUUUUGCUGGACGUGGACCAGCAAGUAGAGAAGGACAAUGAAAUUGCGUUGGUGGUG
rnacentral:lncRNA from 1 species